rnacentral:rRNA from 1 species
CCUACGGUGGCUGCAGUGGGGAAUAUUGGACAAUGGGCGAAAGCCUGAUCCAGCCAUGCCGCGUGUGUGAAGAAGGCCUUCGGGUUGUAAAGCACUUUCAGUGGGGAAGAAAGCCUUGGGGCUAAUACCCUCGAGGAAGGACAUCACCCACAGAAGAAGCACCGGCUAACUCCGUGCCAGCAGCCGCGGUAAUACGGAGGGUGCGAGCGUUAAUCGGAAUUACUGGGCGUAAAGCGCGCGUAGGCGGUCUGAUAAGCCGGUUGUGAAAGCCCCGGGCUCAACCUGGGAACGGCAUCCGGAACUGUCAGGCUAGAGUGCAGGAGAGGAAGGUAGAAUUCCCGGUGUAGCGGUGCAAUGCGUAGAGAUCGGGAGGAAUACCAGUGGCGAAGGCGGCCUUAUGGACUGACACUGACGCUGAGGUGCGAAAGCGUGGGUAGCAAACAGGAUUAGAUACCCGAGUAGUC